AGGGUUGUGGCUCAAUGGUAGAGCACUUGCCUUGCAUGUGUGAGGCCCUGGGUUCAAUCCUCAGCAACACAU
rnacentral:tRNA from 1 species